CCUACGGGAGGCAGCAGUGGGGAAUAUUGCACAAUGGGGGAAACUCUGAUGCAGCGACGCCGCGUGAGCGAUGAAGUAUUUCGGUAUGUAAAGCUCUAUCAGCAGGGAAGAAAAUUACGGUACCUGACUAAGAUGCCCCGGCUAACUACGUGCCAGCAGCCGCGGUUCUGCGUAGGGGGCCAGCGUUAUCCGGAUUUACUGGGUGUUAAGGGGGCGUAGACGGUCCUGCAAGCCAGUUGUGAAAGCCCGGGGCUCAACCCCGGGACUGCAUUUGGAACUGUAAGGCUAGAGUGUGGGAGAGGCAGGCGGAAUUCCUAGUGUAGCGGUGAAAUGCGUAGAUAUUAGGAGGAACACCAGUGGCGAAGGCGGCCUGCUGGACGAUGACUGACGUUGAGGCUCGAAAGCGUGGGGAGCAAACAGGAUUAGAUACCCCUGUAGUC
rnacentral:rRNA from 1 species